rnacentral:rRNA from 1 species
AUUAAUUUUUUUUUGUUUUACCUGAAACGUAAAUUUUAAUUUUUUUAUUUUUACCUUUUGCAUAAGUGUUUAACUACUAUAAAAAAUUGUUAUUUUUCCCCGAAUUAGAAAGAUCUAAAUAUAAAAAUCCCUUAGGUUUUUUCCUAAUGUAGCAUUAUUAGACUUAUAUUUUUAUUUAGAAGUGAAAAACUUACACUUUCUAGGAUAGCUGGAUUUUUCUAUAAAGUAUUUAGUACUUAAAAAAAUUAGGAAGUUUUUAGAUUUUCUAAAGGAAGAAUAAUUUAAUUUUUGUUAUUUUUUACGAAAUAAAACUCUAAAUUAUUUAAAUAUUUAUUAUUUUUUAAUUUUAAAAUCUUUAUUUUAAGAAAAAAUUUUCGUAAAUUUUUAUUGAAAUUUAUAAUGUUUAAAUUAGUAAAAAAUAAAAUUAAAAAAAGGAACUCGGCAAAAAAAUUUUUAUCUGUUUAUCAAAAACAUAGCUUAAAGAAAUUUAUUUUAAGUAAAUUCUGCCCAGCGUAAAACUAUUAGCGGCCGCAGUACCUUGACUGUGCUAAGGUAGCAUAAUCAAUUGGCUUUUAAUUGAAGUCUGGAAUGAAAGGUUAAAUAAGAAAUUAACUGUCUCUUUUUAAUUUUUAUGAAUUUAUUUAUUAAGUGAAAAUACUUUUUUAAAGAAAAAAGACGAGAAGACCCUUAGAAUUUUAAUUUCUUUUACUUUAUUGUAAACUUAUUUUUGUUGGGGCGACAUUGAAACAAAUUUUAAACUUUCACAAUUUUUACAAGACAUUUAUUUUUGAAUGAACAAAUUACCUUAGGGAUAACAGCAUAAUGAAAUUAUUAGCUUGUGACCUCGAUGUUGGACUAGGAACUAAAAGACUAACCGUCAAAAUAGAGUGUUCUGUUCGAACAAAUUUUUCCUACAUGAUCUGAGUUCAGACCGGUGUAAGCCAGGUCAGUUUCUAUCUUUUACUUAUUAUAUUUUUAG